rnacentral:piRNA from 1 species
GUGAUGUGGACAGGAGUCGAAGGACUAGAA